GUCCCAAACCCAAUGUGAACGUUACCAAACUGUUGCCUCGGCGGGAUCUCUGCCCCGGGUGCKUYGCAGCCCCGGACCAAGGCGCCCGCCGGAGGACCAACCAAAACUCUUAUUGUAUACCCCCUCGCGGGUUUUUUUAUAAUCUGAGCCUUCUCGGCGCCUCUCGUAGGCGUUUCGAAAAUGAAUCAAAACUUUCAACAACGGAUCUCUUGGUUCUGGCAUCGAUGAAGAACGCAGCGAAAUGCGAUAAGUAAUGUGAAUUGCAGAAUUCAGUGAAUCAUCGAAUCUUUGAACGCACAUUGCGCCCGCCAGUAUUCUGGCGGGCAUGCCUGUCCGAGCGUCAUUUCAACCCUCGAACCCCUCCGGGGGGUCGGCGUUGGGGAUCGGCCCUGCCUUGGCGGUGGCCGUCUCCGAAAUACAGUGGCGGUCUCGCCGCAGCCUCUCCUGCGCAGUAGUUUGCACACUCGCAUCGGGAGCGCGGCGCGUCCACAGCCGUUAAACACCCAACUUCUGAAAUGUUGACCUCGGAUCAGGUAGGAAUACCCGCUGAACUUAAGCAUAUCAAUAAGCCGRAGGAA
rnacentral:rRNA from 1 species